UACGUAGGGUGCAAGCGUUAAUCGGAAUUACUGGGCGUAAAGCGUGCGCAGGCGGUUCGCUAAGACCGAUGUGAAAUCCCCGGGCUUAACCUGGGAACUGCAUUGGUGACUGGCGGGCUAGAGUGUGGCAGAGGGGGGUAGAAUUCCACGUGUAGCAGUGAAAUGCGUAGAGAUGUGGAGGAAUAUCGAUGGCGAAGGCAGCCCCCUGGGCUAACACUGACGCUCAUGCACGAAAGCGUGGGGAGCAAACAGG
rnacentral:rRNA from 1 species